AGAGUUUGAUCCUGGCUCAGGACGAACGCUGGCGGCGUGCUUUAUACAUGCAAGUCAAGGAGAAAGUUUUCUUCGGAAAACGAUUAAACUGGCGAACGGGUGAGUAACGCGUAGGCAACCUGCCCUAUAGAUUGGGAUAACAUUGGGAAACUGAUGCUAAUACCGGAUGAUGCAACACUUUCUUUGGAAAGAGUUGUUAAAGCAGGCUUCGGCUCGCGCUUUAGGAUGGGCCUGCGUCCGAUUAGCUUGUUGGCAAGGUAAUGGCUUACCAAGGCAAUGAUCGGUAGCUGGUCUGAGAGGAUGAUCAGCCACACUGGGAUUGAGAUACGGCCCAGACUCCUACGGGAGGCAGCAGUAGGGAAUUUUGCGCAAUGGGGGAAACCCUGACGCAGCAACGCCGUGUGAGUGAAGAAGGCCUUCGGGUCGUAAAGCUCUGUCAAGGGGGAAAAAAUCCUUUCGAUUAAUAGUUAGAAGGACUGAUGGUACCCCUAGAGGAAGCACCGGCUAACUCCGUGCCAGCAGCCGCGGUAAU
rnacentral:rRNA from 1 species